rnacentral:rRNA from 1 species
GGCGCACGGGUGCGUAACACGUAUGCAACCUACCUUACAUUGGGGGAUAGCCUUUCGAAAGGGAGAUUAAUACCGCAUAAGACAGUAGCUGGGCAUCCAGCAGCUGUUAAAGAUUUAUCGAUGUAAGAUGGGCAUGCGUCCAAUUAGUUAGUUGGCGAGGUAAUGGCUCACCAAGACUAUGAUUGGUAGGGGAACUGAGAGGUCAAUCCCCCACACUGGCACUGAGAUACGGGCCAGACUCCUACGGGAGGCAGCAGUAGGGAAUAUUGGGCAAUGGACGCAAGUCUGACCCAGCCAUGCCGCGUGCAGGAAGAAGGCGUUAUGCGUUGUAAACUGCUUUUAUACAGGAAGAAACGACUCUUGCGAGAGGCAUUGACGGUACUGUAUGAAUAAGCACCGGCUAACUCCGUGCCAGCAGCCGCGGUAAUACGGAGGGUGCAAGCGUUGUCCGGAUUUAUUGGGUUUAAAGGGUGCGCAGGUGGUUUAUUAAGUCAGUGGUGAAAGACGGUCGCUCAACGAUUGCAGUGCCAUUGAAACUGGUAGACUUGAGUAAAGUAGAGGUGGGCGGAAUUGAUAGUGUAGCGGUGAAAUGCAUAGAUAUUAUCAAGAACUCCAAUUGCGUAGGCAGCUCACUUGGCUUUUACUGACACUCAUGCACGAAAGUGUGGGUAUCAAACAGGAUUAGAUACCCUGGUAGUCCACACUGU